GUGCUCACUUCAGCACCACAUAUACUAAAGUUGGAAUGAUUCAGAGAAGAUUAGCAUGGCCCCUGCCCACAGAUGACACACAAAUUCGUGAUGUGUUCCAUAUUUCU
ensembl:snRNA Gm25629 U6 spliceosomal RNA